UGUUGCAUGGCUGUCGUCAGCUCGUGCCGUGAGAUGUUCGGUUAAGUCCGCUAACGAGCGCAACCCUCGCUGUGUGUUACAAGUGUCACACAGUACUGCCGAUAUUAAGUCGGAGGAAGGUGGGGAUGACGUCAAGUCAGCAUGACCUUUAUAUCCAGGGCUACACACACGCUACAAUGGCCAGUACAAUGGGUUGCCAAGCCGCGAGGCGGAGCCAAUCCUAAAAAGCUGGCCUCAGUUCAGAUUGCAGUCUGCAACUCGACUGCAUGAAGUUGGAGUUGCUAGUAACCGCAGGUCAGCAAUACUGCGGUGAAUACGUUCCCGGGGAUU
rnacentral:rRNA from 1 species